GGAGAAUUGGAAAAAGAAUCCAAUUGGAUAAGAAUCAUUAACAAAUUGUAACUUGGGCUAGCAAGUAUAUCCUUGUGAAAUGAUGACGAUGAUGUGUCACCAACUUGAAAGAAAAUAAUUAUAAUAACACAGAAAAAAGAAUUACAAAAAAAUAAUUAUUAAUAACACGUAAAAGGAUUACAAAAGAAGACAAUUGGCAUAGAGUCAAAAGAACAUAGUCAAUCAAUAACUAUAUUUUUGUCUUGUCUUUGCUGCAAAUAAAUA
rnacentral:misc_RNA from 1 species